CCUACGGGGUGCAGCAGUGGGGGAUAUUGCACAAUGGGGGAAACCCUGAUGCAGCGACGCCGCGUGUAGGAAGACGGUCCUCUGGAUUGUAAACUACUGUCCCCAGGGACGAAGAUGACGGUACCUGGGGAGGAAGCUCCGGCUAACUACGUGCCAGCAGCCGCGGUAAUACGUAGGGAGCGAGCGUUGUCCGGAAUUACUGGGUGAAAAGGGAGCGUAGGCGGGGAUGCAAGUUGGGUGUUAAAUCUACCGGCUCAACUGGUAGUCGCACUCAAAACUGCAGGUCUUGAGUGAAGUAGAGGCAGGCGGAAUUCCUAGUGUAGCGGUGAAAUGCGUAGAUAUUAGGAGGAACACCAGUGGCGAAGGCGGCCUGCUGGGCUUUUACUGACGCUGAGGCUCGAAAGUGUGGGGAGCAAACAGGAUUAGAUACCCCGGUAGUC
rnacentral:rRNA from 1 species